ACACACAUAUACCCAUAAUGAAAAUUAAAAUCUUUAAAAUACCAGGACAAGCAGGGCUACACAGAGAACCUCUGCUUAGAAAAAAACAAAUCCAAGAUAGUUAUUAGUGUUCCUCUGGUACUAAAGAUCAGUUUCAACUCAGAAUCAGGACCUACUUGAUUUAAAGGAUGUACGUACACCCAGACACAUAUUUUCAGAACAAAGUUUUCAAAGUUGCAGGAGUUUCAAAUAAGGAUGCAGAGUGCAUUGGGAGAUAGCAGCUGUACACAGCAAGGACGACAGUCUGUGAAGUCCAAGAUCCAGGUGCUGGAAGGAUCUGCUGUCUGGAAAGAGCUGCUCUCUGCUUCAUGGAUGGUACCUUGCUUCUUAUUGCUAUGUUCUCACGCCGUGAAAGAACAAAUAGAUCUUUUCAACUCUGA